GUUUCUAUUAUUGGAAACUUUGAAAGUUUUUGUUGGGUUUCCCCUAGAAACU
rnacentral:tRNA from 1 species